CCAGGAGUGUGGUGCAUGGCCGUUCUUAGUUGGUGGAGCGAUUUGUCUGGUUAAUUCCGAUAACGAACGAGACUCUAGCCUGCUAACUAGGCGUAUUUUGACAUCCUAAAGGCCCGCCGGCUUGGGCUUCGCCUUUAGUCGUGCGCGGUUUUUACUGUC
rnacentral:rRNA from 2 species